rnacentral:ncRNA from 11 species
GGGUGAUUAGCUCAGCUGGGAGAGCACCUCCCUUACAAGGAGGGGGUCGGCGGUUCGAUCCCGUCAUCACCCA